AUUGAACGCUGGCGGCAGGCCUAACACAUGCAAGUCGAGCGGAUGAAGGGAGCUUGCUCCUGGAUUCAGCGGCGGACGGGUGAGUAAUGCCUAGGAAUCUGCCUGGUAGUGGGGGAUAACGUCCGGAAACGGGCGCUAAUACCGCAUACGUCCUGAGGGAGAAAGUGGGGGAUCUUCGGACCUCACGCUAUCAGAUGAGCCUAGGUCGGAUUAGCUGGUUGGUGGGGUAAAGGCCUACCAAGGCGACGCUCCGUAACUGGUCUGAGAGGCUGAGCAGUCACACUGGAACUGAGACACGGUCCAGACUCCUGCGGGAGGCAGCAGUGGGGAAUAUUGGACAAUGGGCGAAAGCCUGAUCCAGCCAUGCCGCGUGUGUGAAGAAGGUCUUCGGAUUGUAAAGCACUUUAAGUUGGGAGGAAGGGCAGUAAGUUAAUACCUUGCUGUUUUGACGUUACCAACAGAAUAAGCACCGGCUAACUUCGUG
rnacentral:rRNA from 1 species